rnacentral:rRNA from 1 species
UACGUAGGGGGCAAGCGUUGUCCGGAAUCAUUGGGCGUAAAGAGCGUGUAGGCGGCCCGGUAAGUCCGCUGUGAAAGUCCAGGGCUCAACCCUGGGAUGCCGGUGGAUACUGUCGGGCUAGAGUACGGAAGAGGCGAGUGGAAUUCCUGGUGUAGCGGUGAAAUGCGCAGAUAUCAGGAAGAAUAUCCGUGGCGAAGGCGGCUCUCUGGGACGGUACUGACGCUGAGACGCGAAAGCGUGGGGAGCGAACAGG